CUUGACAUCCAGCGAACUUUCCAGAGAUGGAUUGGUGCCUUCGGGAACGCUGAGACAGGUGCUGCAUGGCUGUCGUCAGCUCGUGUUGUGAAAUGUUGGGUUAAGUCCCGCAACGAGCGCAACCCUUUAUCCUUUGUUGCCAGCGAUUCGGUCGGGAACUCAAAGGAGACUGCCGGUGAUAAACCGGAGGAAGGUGGGGAUGACGUCAAGUCAUCAUGGCCCUUACGAGUAGGGCUACACACGUGCUACAAUGGCGCAUACAAAGAGAAGCGACCUCGCGAGAGCAAGCGGACCUCAUAAAGUGCGUCGUAGUCCGGAUCGGAGUCUGCAACUCGACUCCGUGAAGUCGGAAUCGCUAGUAAUCGUGGAUCAGAAUGCCACGGUGAAUACGUUCCCGGGCCUUGUACACACCGCCCGUCACACCAUGGGAGUGGGUUGCAAAAGAAGUAGGUAGCUUAACCUUCGGGAGGGCGCUUACCACUUUGUGAUUCAUGACUGGGGUGAAGUCGUAACAAGGUAAGCGUAGCGAG
rnacentral:rRNA from 1 species